rnacentral:tRNA from 1 species
GGGGUUGUGGCUCAGUGGUAGAGCACUCACCUAGCAUGAGUGAGGCACUGGGUUCCAUCCUCAGCACCACG